GUAGUAGAGGGAGCAUCAGGUGGUAGGUGGGGCCCUAGAGCUCCCAAGAGGUUAAGUCCUUUUUCUUGGGCUAUCAGGGCAGGUAGAUAAAGACCAUCAGGUGGGGGCAGGGUUAAGCAUGUCUAAUUUCAGACUCUCCUUGGGCGGGUCUUACUGCAGUUACUGCGGGGGAGGGGGGGUGUGGUUCUCAGGCCAGUGGAAUUCUGCCCCCGGGGGAUUAUGGCUGCCUCUGCUGUGUCAUGCAGGCCACCAGGGAAAUGGGUGAAAGCUGGCAGUUAUAGGCCUCACUCAGCCCAAAAGGCUGGUUUCACUUUCACUGUGCUCCCUCAACAGCACCAAGUUUAUUUCCAGGCAGUGGGUGAGCAGGGCUGAAAAGCUGCCCCAGGCUACCAGCCUCCCAGCUGAGAAAGCAAGCAGGGCUUUUAGAUUUCACCUCUCCCCACCUACCAUGGCUUCUGUGCUGUGAUUGCACUCCUGAUUCAACCCCUCCCCUGAUUUCUGUCGGGGAAACUUUGCAUUCGGUCGAAAUUGUUACAAAGUUCAGCUGGAAGUUUCCUUCCCUGUGUGGUUUCUUCCCGGUUCCUCUGGCAGCCCUCCCCAAGGACUUCUGUAAGACAAAGUCGGAAGUUACUUCCUUGGGGACCGAGAGCCCACAGGGGUCUUCCUACUGCUUCUUCUACCCCUGUAUUUCACUCAGCUCUCUAAAUUUGUCUCAGCUCCAGGAAGGCAGGGAUUUCAACCUGGGCAACAAGUCCACAGAACAUGAGAUUUCUGAAGGUGUGUGGGAUACAUCAUGGUUACAUAAAAAUCCUUUCACUAUAGUUCCUGCUUCCCUAUCUUCAAAAUGAUUCCCUGAAGACUUCCGCCAUGACGGUCUAAAGCCUAACCUCUGAACUGUGGAUGGAAAAUUGAACUCCUUGAUGUGAUCUCUGCACAUCAUGCAACCCUAAACCUAAAUAUAUUCUCUGUGUGGGAGCCCCAUUAUUUUUAGUCUAAUACAUUUUAAGUCAUCUUAAAAAAUUAUAUUUUGUUUUCUUUUAUAUGGUCGAUUUUACCUUGUUUUCUUUGACUAUUACUUGUUGUCUUGUAUGAGAUUCUACUGGUCUCAAGGCUUAAACCUCACAAUCUUCAGGGUCUGAUGGAUUUCUCUCUAUUUUCUAAGUUCCCUGGGAUAUGUUUGAUGAGUUUUUGUGGCAGAGAAGCAGAGAAAGGAGAAAGGUGAUGUCUAUACUACUUCCUUUUUCUCCCCAGCCACAAAUGCCAGAGUCUAUAAAGAGACCCUGAGAAGCAAGCUCUGUGCAGAGUCACUUCUAAGAAAUACCAGGAUAAAAUGUAGGUGAGAGACAUUUGUGUGAAAAAAGGGAUGAGAGAGAGGAGGAAGGAUUGAGAAAAUUUUCAAGGCAGAAAGGGACCUAUAUCUUCUAAUUUGGCAAAAUGGGAGAGGUAGGUAGGAGAUGGGAAUGCUCUCUUAUCUAUCUCGCCUUUUGGAUGGAGAUUAAUAACACAACCCAGGAGAAAGUGAUCCUUAGGAAGCCCAAAUGACUGAAAACAGCCCUCGAGUAUACCAAUUGGACAAGUUGGGGUGAAGGAGACCUAGUUAUUGUAAUACAUAGGUAGAGAUUGUGGUUGUGAGACUGUUGGGUGAUUAACUCAUAGAUGUUCCAAAGUCAUCUGUCAGCUAAAAUAGCUGUCAUUAGGAAUGCUUGAAAGGUUUCAAAGAAUACUUCAGUAGCAAUGAGCAUACCUAGGACCUAGAUCUGGGCUUCUAAAUCUCAUUCUCCACUAAAAGAAUCUGGGUCUCCUUGCACAAGUGGCUGAUUCCAGGUCCAGGGCGUGAAAAGUACAAAGUGAACUUGGAACAUUUCUGUGCCACAAAGCAAGAAAGUGAUCAAAGAAUAAAGGGGACAUGUUGCAAAGGACCCAGGAGCUUGCUUAAAGAGGCUUCCAUUACCUACAUUUGAGAUAAUCUGAGUAUCAUCAUGACUAUUGAUGAUAAUGGAAUAUAACCCAGAUAACAAAAUAAAAAUCUGUAAGUCCAUACUAAUGUAAGUAAAUAAAUGAGGAAAUAAAUGAUGGAGAAGUGAACUCUUUUCCUUAUAGUAGAAUCCCAAAGAAUAAAGAUAGAGAAAAUGAUGGACUUGGAAAAUCACCAUUUGGCAGUCCCUAUAGUAAUAAUUGUUUCAGGUAAAAAUAAACAGAUUCGAAAAUCAGAGUAUGAUGAAAACCAGGAUACUUAAUAUACAUUGUCUCAAAGUAUAUCUCUACAACAUAUUUAUUAAUUUCAAAGAAAAAACUUUCUUUACAUUGGAUAAACCUGAUAGAAAUCACCUCGACUAUAUGAUCAAAGUUCACAUCACCAAUAAUGGGACACAUAGACAUCAUGUGCUUCCUGAGAAGGACAUAACAACAUUUCUAUGAUAUUUCUGUCAAAAAUGCAUAAUCUGAAUCUAAUCAUGAAGGGGUAAUCAGACUAACCCAAAUCAAAGGUUUGUCUACACAAUAACUAGUUUGAAUUAUUCAAAUACUGAGAUCAUGAAAUAAAAGAAAGAAUGAACUGUUUCAGAUUAAAGAAGAACAAACAGACAUGACAACCAAAUGUAACUUGUGAUUCUGGAUUUAUCCCUGGACAAUGUAAAGCACAUUAGUGGGGCAACUGGCAAAAUCUGCAUAUGUAAUUUGUCUACAAAUUGUCCACAAAUUGGAUAAUAGUUUUGGUAUUGGUAAUGGUAAUGAUAUUAUAUCAGUGUUAAUUGUCUGAUUUUGGUAAUUGCACUGUGAUUAUUGAAGAGAAUAUCAUGAUUUUUAGAAACUACAACUGCAGUAUGUAAAGCUAAAGAAAUAUUCUGUCUGAAAUUUGCUCUCUGGGACCUAUAUCUUCUAAUUUGGUGAAAUAGGUAGGAGAGGUAUGUAGGAGGAAUUUGUUUUAGGAAACAAAUUGUAUAUCUUUGUAUAUGUGAAUGACAAAGAAAGUGUGAUAAAAUGAUAAUACUAGAGGAAUACUUGAGAUGCA
rnacentral:lncRNA from 1 species